rnacentral:rRNA from 1 species
ACGAACGCUGGCGGCAUGCCUAACACAUGCAAGUCGAACGAGACCUUCGGGUCUAGUGGCGCACGGGUGCGUAACGCGUGGGAACCUGCCCUUAGGUUCGGAAUAACUCCCCGAAAGGGGUGCUAAUACCGGAUAAUGUCUUCGGACCAAAGAUUUAUCGCCUUUGGAUGGGCCCGCGUUGGAUUAGCUAGUUGGUAGGGUAAAAGCCUACCAAGGCGACGAUCCAUAGCUGGUCUGAGAGGAUGAUCAGCCACACUGGGACUGAGACACGGCCCAGACUCCUACGGGAGGCAGCAGUGGGGAAUAUUGGACAAUGGGCGAAAGCCUGAUCCAGCAAUGCCGCGUGAGUGAUGUAGGCCUUAGGGUUGUAAAGCUCUUUUACCCGGGAUGAUAAUGACAGUACCGGGAGAAUAAGCUCCGGCUAACUCCGUG